AUGGGCAGUGACCAGCCUUGUGUGUCUGUGAAGAGACGACCUACAAGGGACAGCCUCCUGUGGGAUGUGACCCUGGAACACACAUCCGGGACCUUUCACCACAUGGCAACCCUUCACUCUCUUGGCUGUCCGCCUCUCUGCCAUUUGUCUUCAGGCAAUCGUAAGGUUGCUGGAGAAGACAUGAGCCCGUGUCCAUAUACUCCAGAGCAGAGGCACAAUGUGUGAGUUAACUGAAGCAGCUCUGUCCGUGGAGAUGCCAGAAGGCUGUGUCUACUUUACAGGGAGAAUUCUGGCUGUGCCUGACACCUUCAUACAACCACUUAGGAAAGAAAUCUGGCAAGGUGGAUCAGAAACCCAAAAAGAGGGGUUCAUUUCCUUGGACCCAACAAUGCAAUUUCCAUGUUCAAAAUAAUGCUCAUGGACUAAGACAGCAACAAAAAGAUUGCUAGUGAGGAAUUAUUUAUUAGAAAAAACAACAAGGAGAAACUCUAGGGUUCAACGGUUAGGUUAUGACUGCAAUGUGACUGCAACAUCCAGAAAAUAAGCCUUUCCUUAAAAGAGUGUCUAGGAAGAGCUUAAGACAAGAGAAAUAUCAAGGAUAUCAAGCUGAAUUAAGAAACAAGAAGCCCAUGAUUGUGUGUGCAGAGCGUGAUCUCCAUUGACCAGCGAUGACUCUCACUGGCUCUGUUAUCUCUCCCUUCUUUCAUUCCACACCCAGCUCUAUGCUGUAGGGUGUCAUUUGUGUGUCAGUGACAAGUGACUCGUGUGGAGUGAGCACUGCAUGAGUAUUAUUUGAUGAAUAAAUCAACCCUCUAAGCAACACAUAUGUAUUCCCUUACUAAGCAUUUAACAUGCGGAUGAAUUAAAGGUACAACCCAUUAAGAGAUAGCUCUGAUUAUUAGCUUUGCAAGCACACGGUAGAGUUCAGAGAAUGAGGCACACAGGAUUUUCCCCUCACCACCUACAUGGCCCUACAAAGAACUCCUAGGGGCAGGGAAUGUGAGCACAAGCCAGGCUUCCCUCUCCUCCCCCACCCCACACCCCUGACUCCCACUCCCCUGGGGAGUCAUUGAAACAUGGCACCAUUCCCCAGGCUCUUCCUUCCACUUGGGUUUUCCCAUUCCAGCCAAGCCUGAGAGGCAAACAUUUACAUGGUAAAAAAUAAACAACAAC
rnacentral:lncRNA from 1 species